rnacentral:ribozyme from 13 species
AGGAGGAACUACAAAAGAAGGCACAGCAGGGGCAGAGUGGAUCUUCUCUCUCUCUUUUUCUUGCUUCACCUCUUUCAUUUUCAAUUUCUUUUUCUCUCUCUCGAUCUCCU